GGGUCAGUAGGUUGGUCGUGCCACCGGUACGUACUGGUCUCACUGAUUCCUCCUUCCUGAAGAACCGUAAUGCCAUUAAUUUGGUGUUGCGGGGAAACAGGACUGUUACUUUGAAAAAAUUAGAGUGUUUAAAGCAAGCUAACGCUUGAAUACAUUAGCAUGGGGUAAUGAAAUAGGACGAUCGAUCCUAUUUUGUUGGUUUCUAGGAUUGACGUA
rnacentral:rRNA from 1 species